rnacentral:snoRNA from 1 species
UGGUCAUUGCCAAGGCUUUCAAAACAACGCUUCUGAUUUGCUGUGGGCUUGACCAUAAAACAAACUUCCCAAACAUCUGGGGACAUUU